GUGCUUGCUUCGGCGGCACAUAUACUAAAAUUGGAACAAUACAGAGAGAUUAGUAUGGCCCCUGAACAAGGAUGACAUGGAAAUCUGUGAAGUGUUCUAUAUUAAA